rnacentral:lncRNA from 1 species
CGAGUGUUGAAAAUGGCACAACUAGACUUGUGCCUCUCAACAUCAUCGACUGUGCCAAAAGACUCGUUCAAUAUUUGUAACAUGUUCUGUGGCUGAGCAUUCUCAAAAUAAUGGCUGAACUCAUCAUUCAUUGCCACCAACAUAAUGCAAUGAAUCAUAGUUCGAUCGUUGAGCCACUUCUGAUAAGUAUCUUUGACCAUG